UACGAAGGGGGCUAGCGUUGUUCGGAAUUACUGGGCGUAAAGCGUAUGCAGGCGGAUCGUUAAGUCGGUGGUGAAAUCCUGGAGCUCAACUCCAGAACUGCCUUCGAUACUGGGAAGCUCGAGUCCGGGAGAGGUGAGUGGAACUGCGAGUGUAGAGGUGAAAUUCGUAGAUAUUCGCAAGAACACCAGUGGCGAAGGCGGCUCACUGGCCCGGUACUGACGCUGAGGUGCGAAAGCGUGGUGAGCAAACAGG
rnacentral:rRNA from 1 species